AGUCGUCAAAGAAGAAGGUGAAUUAAAGGUAAGUUUUAAUUCACUAAGUGAUUGGAUUAAAUAUAAUCAAUUGGAUUGGUGCCAAUCACCUCACUGCCUUACUAAUUAGAACCUAAAACGAUUGUUCACCAAUACACUCUUGUAGUGAGUAACUAAUGGAUGAUGGAAAUAAUUAAUUGGAUUAAUUAAGUGUUGUGAUUAAUUAUAAAGUCUAAAGAAAUCAUAAAAGCGAUAUAAGAUCGUUUUGGGCUUAAAGAAACGUUCGGGUUUAAUUGGGCCAAUUGGGCCUAAACCCAUUGGGCUUUUAUUCAAGCAUUGGAUGACUUGAAAUAAAUAAAAGCCCAAAGCCCAAACAACACAAAGGGGGCCUGCCAAAGGAGGGAGAGAAAGGUCAAAUGUUGACUUGUUUCUUUUUGGCUAUAAAAGGAACUUUAUAGCAAAUGUUUCAUGAGGGUUUUUGAAGUGUUAAAAGAACAAAAGAGAAAAAGAAAAAUAUCUCUCUAACACUCAAAGGGCCGGCCACCAUAGGGGGUUUUUAGCUAAUCAUCUUUUUCACCCCUUUGGUUAUUCCUUCAUCCUUUUCACUACACUAGUGGGUGAGGAUCUUUAGAGGUUUUCAAUUUUGGAAACUUGAAGAGAACCUAGGAGCACUCAUACUAAACAAAGUGGAGGAGGCAAGGAAGGAGGCUAGGCUCAAGGACUUCAAGGAGCAAAGGGCUUGGACGUGGUCCAUCCUUGGUCUAAGAUCUAGAUCAAGAAGUAUAAAACUACUCCUAAACUUUGUUCUUAUAUAAAUUUGUUUUUGAUGCAUCUUACAUAAACCUAUGCAUCUUGAAGGGGAUUUACAUGACUAGAGCUUUGAUAUUAUUUGAUAACAUGCUUCCGUUGCUUUCGUAUAUAAAUCUUGAAUUGUAUAUGCAUGCUAGUCACUAGAAAUCCCACAUGAAUCUCAUAGAAUUCCCUUCACAAUAUUCAUGCUUUAAUGAACUACAUCUACAACAUUUGAGAUGCUAAAUUUUCUAGCAAAAUUUAUAUUCAAAAGCAAGAACAAAGCUUGUAACAUUUACAACAUUUAAAUCACAAAUCAUGAAAAUCACAAAACCCAAAAGGAUUCACCAUAAACUAGGCCUAGGCUCUGAUACCACUUGAAGGAAAAAUUUUGUCCUAGCUAAGAACAUGUGAGAAUAUUUGAACACAUAUGCAAACUAUUAACACAUUAAAGUAGGCAUGCAUUAAAAAACAAUUCUAAAAACCCAUGACUUUCAAAGCCUAGUGAAUGGUGAACCAUAAGACUCUUUAACAACAUUAAAGAGAAGGUAAGAUUUAGAGAUUUAUUACCCUUGAAGCUCAUCCUUGAUUACACAAGGGAUUCACCCAAGUUGAGGGCCUUCAAGUCACCUCCUAGUUCCUUGGAUCUUCAUUGUGAUUUCCUUCCCUUUUGUACUCCUUUGCUCCUUGAGGAUGUAAGGAAAGGAUCUCCAAAAACACCAAAGGUUUGGUGUCUCUAAGUCUCCACAGCAAGGAUGAGGUGUUAAGAUGAAAUUGAUGACUUAGAGAAGAAAAGAUUGCUAGCUAAAUCCUCUCUAAGUGG
rnacentral:lncRNA from 1 species